CAUACUUUGAAUAAUGUAGUGUAUCUUUGAAUAUGUGCCUUCAGAAAAUAUUCAUACCCCUUGACUUAUUCCAUAUUUUGUUUUACAGCCUGAAUUCAAAAUUGAUUAAAUAGUUUCUUUUUCUCACAGAUCUACAUACAAUAGCCCAUAAUGACGAAGUGAAAACAUGUUCUUAGAAAUGUUUGCAAAUUUAUUGAAAAUGAAAUGCAGAAAUAUCUAAUUUACAUAAGUAUUUACACCCCUGAGUCAAUACUUUGUAGAAGCACCACUGACAGUGAGUCUUUCUGGGUAAAUCUCUAAGAGCUAUGAGUCUUUCUGGGUAAAUCUCUAAGAGCUUUCCACAUGUGGAUUGUGUAACAUUUGCCCAUUUAUAAUUUUCAAAAUUCUUUAAGCUCAGUCAAAUUGGUUGUUGAUCAUUGCUAGACAAAUUUAUUUGAAAAUCUAUAUCAAGAACAGGAUUCAAUCAAAACUGUAACUAGGCCAUUCAGGAACAUUCCAUGACGUCUUGGUAAGCAACUCCAGUGUGUAAAUGGCCUUAUGUUUUAGGUUAUUGUCCUGCUGAAAGGUGAUUUCAUCUCCCAGUGUCUGUUGGAAAGCAGACUGAACCAGGUUUUCCUCUAGGAUUUUGCCUGUGUUUAGCUCAAUUCCAUUUCUUUUUUAUCCUGAAAAACUACCUAGUCCUAAAGGAUUUCAAGCAUACCCAUAACAUGAUGCAGCCACCACCAUGCUUCAAAAUAUGAAGAGUGGUACUCUGUAAUGUGUUGUAUUUCCCCAAACAUAAUGCUUUGUAUUCAGGACAAAAAGUUCAUGUCUUUGACACAUUUUUUGCCGUUUUACUUAAGUGCCUUGGUUUGGAAUAUUUGUAUUCUGUACAUGCGUCCUUCUUUUCCCUCUGGCCCUUCUUUGCGAGGCUGUGGAAAACCUCCCUGGUCUUUGUGGUUGAAUCUGUGUUUGAAAUUCACUGCUCAACUGAGAGACCUUACAGAUAAUUGUGUAUGUGGGGUACAGAGAUGAGGUAGUCAUUCAAAAAUCACGUUAAACACUAUUAUUGAACACAGAGUGAGUCCAUGCAACUUAUUAUGUGACUUGUUAAGCACACGUUUACUCCUGAACUUAUUUAGACUUCCCAUAACAAAGGGGUUGAAAACUUAUUGACUCAAGACAUUUCAGCUUUUCAUUUUUUAUUCAUUUGUAAACAUUUCUAAAAAAAACAACAUAUUUCCACUUUGACAUUAUGGGGUAUUGUGUGUAGUCCAGUGACAAAAUCUCAAUUGAAUCCAUUUUAAAUUCCAUCUGUAACAGAACAGCAUGUGGAGUGAAUAUACACCGAGUAUAAAAAGCAUUGCUGAAUCCAGGUAAAACCUAUGAUGUUUUUAUCGAUUCGAAAUCCACUUUAGUCAAGUGUAGAUGAAGAGAAGGAUACAGAUUAAAGAAGGAUUCAGAUUAAAGAAGGAUUCAGAUUAGAGAAGGAUUCUUGAGCCUUGGUGUAUCAGUGCCAUUCAGAAGGUGAACGGACAAGACUAAAUAUUGAAUUGCCUUUGAACAGUAUGGUAGUAGGUGCCAGGCGCACCGGUUUGUGUCAAGAACUUCCAACGCUGCUUUUUCACGCUCAACCGUUUCCUGUUUGUAUUAAGAAUGGUCCACCAAGCAAAGGAGGUCCAACCAACUUCACACAACUGUGGGAAGCAUUGGAGUCAACAUGGGCCAGCAUCACUGUGGAACGCUUUCCGUAGAGUCCAUAACCUGACGAAUUGAGGCCAUUCUGAGGGCAAGAGGGGGGUGCAAUUGAAUGUUAGGAAGGUGUUCCUAAUGUUUUGUCCACUGUGUAUAUAGCAGGUCUGUGUGGGUGUGUGAGGUACAGGGACUGAGAAAGUGUUUGUUAAGCGAAUGAAUGAGUAUGUGUUGUAGUACUGAUGUGGUUGAUGAGCAUUCUGUUUACAUCUCAGUAUGAUAAGGAAUAGAUCGAAAACAGUUUGGCAAACUACCCUCCACAUUGACACCAAACUACCCUCCAUAUUGACACCACACUGUCCUCCACAAUGACACCAAACUACCCUCCACAUUGACACCAAACUACCCUCCACAUUGACACCACACUACCCUCCACAUUGACACCACACUACCCUCCACAUUGACACCACACUACCCUCCGCAUUGACACCAAACUACCCUCCGUAUUGACACCACACUACCCUCCGCAUUGACACCACACUACCCUCCGUAUUGACACCACACUACCCUCCGUAUUGACACCAAACUACCCUCCGCAUUGACACCAAACUACCCUCCGCAUUGACACCACACUACCCUCCGUAUUGACACCAAACUACCCUCCGCAUUGACACCACACUACCCUCCGCAUUGACACCACACUACCCUCCGCAUUGACACCACACUACCCUCCGCAUUGACACCACACUACCCUCCACAUUGACACCACACUACCCUCCACAUUGACACCACACUACUCUCCACAUUGACACCACACUACUCUCCACAUUGACACCACACUACCUUCCAGACACCAAACUACCAUCCAGUGACAAACUACCCUCUAUAUUGACACCAAACGACCAUCCAUAUUGACACCAAACUACCAUCCAUAUUGACACCAAACUACCCUCCACAUUGACACCAAAUUGUCCUCCAUAUUGACACCACACUGUCCUCCAGACACCAAACUACCAUCCACAGUGACAAACUACCCUCCACAUUGACACCAAAUUGUCCUCCAUAUUGACACCACACUGCCCUCCAUAAUGACACCACACUGUCCUCCAUAGACACCAAACUACCCUCCAUAUUGACACCAAACUACCCUCCAUAUUGACACCAAACUACCCUCCAUAUUGACACCAAACUACCCUCCAUAGACACCAAACUACCCUCCAUAGACACCAAACUACCCUCCAUAUUACAUCUCAGUACUUUACUUUGGUGCCAAAAUGGCAGCCGUUGUAAUUCUACAUGUGAAACCGUUUGCUGAAUCCUGUUGAAUCUAUCCCAGUAUCAGAAUGUCAGCAGCAAGCCAGCCUUACAGCACAGUGCUUUUCAACCGUAGAAAUAGAAUUACUAGAAUGGUCAUCCACAUUCGGGUAUGUGACGGGUGGUGCCGUGCCUUGAGUGUACCCAAUGGGGGUGCAGUUCAAUUGCCAUUUUCUGAAGGUCUGUUAAACCAUCCCAGUGAUGUUGUAUUUCUUUUGUUUUUAACCUGGUACUUUACCUGAUCCUGAAUUUCAUAAGGUAACCUAGUGGUCACUUUCUAAUGGGGGUGUCAAGUCAAAUGUGACUUAAGUGGAGGUUGGUUUUCUUUCUCUCUGCGUUUACCUGCUUUGUGUCGUUACAUACUGUAUAACUGGAUGUUCCAUACAGGCUUUUUAAUCCAAAUAAACAUGUUUUAAUACUAGCGGUUCUGGAAACUUCUCUGGUGGUUGGCAAAGGCAGGAAGUCGUCUACAAGUAACCAAUCAACGACCGGUAGUCAAGAUGGCGUCUACAAGUAACCAAUCAACGACCGGUAGUCAAGAUGGCGUCUACAAGUAACCAAUCAACGACCGGUAGUCAAGAUGGCGUCUACAAGUAACCAAUCAA
ensembl:lncRNA